AACGAACGCUGGCGGCAGGCUUAACACAUGCAAGUCGAACGCCCCGCAAGGGGAGUGGCAGACGGGUGAGUAACGCGUGGGAAUCUACCCAUCUCUGCGGAAUAGCUCCGGGAAACUGGAAUUAGUACCGCAUACGCCCUACGGGGGAAAGAUUUAUCGGGGAUGGAUGAGCCCGCGUUGGAUUAGCUAGUGGGUGGGGUAAAGGCCUACCAAGGCGACGAUCCAUAGCUGGUCUGAGAGGAUGAUCAGCCACAUUGGGACUGAGACACGGCCCAAACUACUACGGGAGGCAGCAGUGGGGAAUAUUGGACAAUGGGCGCAAGCCUGAUCCAGCCAUGCCGCGUGAGUGAUGAAGGCCUUAGGGUUGUAAAGCUCUUUCACCGAUGAAGAUAAUGACGGUAGUCGGAGAAGAAGCCCCGGCUAACUUCGUGCCAGCCGCCGCCGUAAGAC
rnacentral:rRNA from 1 species